ACUGGAUUCACAAAAAUAUAGACAGCUAGCUGUCAAAAUAGUGAGCUUGCCCCUCAUGCCAAACAUUAAGUCCUUAUAGAAAGUGAAGGAUCACAUUAACAUCUAGUAGCAAACAGUAAACAUGAGAGAGUAAAAUAACACUACAUAACAGUUAGCCUGAAAGUAAAUUAGCUAGCUAACAGUUUUUUCAAACUUUAUUACACAAUGGAACAGGUUUACCAUUCCAACAACAAGGCUUUGCAGACCACACAUCCACACAUCACCAAACACUGCAGGCUCUUCCAUCUCAGACUGUGCUGAUUGGAGGAGCUGAUUGAAGCAUCUCCUAAAGGUACACUAUGAAGAUUAAACCCCAGCUGUUUUGAUCACUUCCCUCAGCAGUGAAUCACCAGAUUCAGGUUGCAAGAAAACGAACAGGUGCUGCACAUCGGCACAGCUUGGGUUAUGUACUAGAGUGUGAAGUCAACCUCCCACUCACCAUCACUGAGAUGAAACGUCAACAAAGGGGCAAUAAUCUGAGGUCAG